CUCGCAGUCAUCGAAGGUGUCAUCAAACCGUCCACUCACCAAGAACACAACACAAGUCCUCUUGCUCUACAACAAAAAUGCUCCGCUCAGAUCUUGUUGAUUGAAUAUAGAAAAAAUGUCCAGGAAAUCAUCUAAAUUUGUGUUGCUUCCGGCGUUCUACCUCUCUGCUGUUCGGCGUCAGCGUAGAUAUUUUUAUCGGAGAAAUGCAAAAUUGUUAAAGGGAGAAAGCGAUCUUCAAUAUUUAGCCGCACUUUUAUGGUUUUCAUUUGGUACAAUAAUCGUACUUUUGCAGGAAGUGCUUUCAGUGUAUCCAUUGUUGUCUAUCACUUCCUAACUCCAGAACAAUCUAAUAGAAUCUCCAAUGUUCUGAAUUUUCUUGAGGACUGCAUCACUUACCACUGUAAGUAGCACAAAAAGGUUGGGGCGGAUUAAAAGAUAUUAUCUAUGUCGAUCGUCUGCACAUUUUGCGCGCUACCGUGGCAUGCUUUGCCAUUUUCUCAAGGCCUCUCAAAGUGUCUGUAUCUAUAGUUGCAGCUGAGAAAGAAAGAAUAACAGACUACAAUGUGAAAAUUUUGUUGAUUAUUUAUCAUUUUUUUUUUGACAUUUGUAUCAUUAAGGUCAAAUUUGUAUUUUAUUUUUAUUUUUUUGGGAUAUUUAAGCACAAUUUAUCACAGAUUUGAAAUAAAUUGUGAUUGUGUUAUCCAACAGUAUCUCUAAAGUGUAACAGUGGCCUACUAUAAUCCAUAAAUAUAUAUACACAGGGGAAAAAUGCAUUACAAAACUUAUAUAUGAAUCUCCAUAUUAUUAAUUU